GCGUAAUCCAAAAUUUGCAUAAAACCAUCAUACAAAAUCUUCAUAUUUUACAUCCAUCCUAUUCUAGCAUUCUACAUUUGAAGGAAAAGUAAAGCACAAGUCAUAUUAUCAAAUAGGAAGAGCUUUGUUUGCUCUAAGCAGCUUGGCAUCUCCUCUACACCAUGAAAGCACCACUUGAAUACUAAUGGCUAGUUGCUAAAGCAGUAACCAAAAGACCAAGUAUAAGAAAUGGCUGUGCACUGGCCUGAUAUUUGACGUCGUAUUUUACUGGAUCUUUGAGGAAGUACUUAAACUGGAAGAAGACUUGUGGAGCAAUUAAACCUAGAAGUGCAAAAGCAUAAUAAGGUUUGCCAGCACCUAAAAGAUACCCUGCCACUGAUAUCUGAGUUAUGUCAA
rnacentral:misc_RNA from 1 species